CAAGUAGCUGGGACUGCAGGUGCACACCACCACGCCCAGCUAAUUUUUGUAUUUUUGGUAGAGAUGGGGUUUCACCAUGUUGGCCAGGCUGGUCUCGAACUCCUGACCUCAGGUGAUCCACCCGCCUCAGCCUCCUAAAGUGCUGGGAUUACAGGCAUGAGCCACCAUGCCUGGCUUGUUUUUAUUUUAUUUUUUCAAUCCUCUGGACACUUGUUUUUCAGGGUCUGCCGUGGGUGUCUGCUGGUGGCUCGCUGUUAUAGGUCCAAUUGUGUCCCUCAGAAUGUACAUACUGAAGUCCUAACCCCCAGUACUUCAGAGUCUGACCUUAUUUUAUGCUUUUAAUUGACAAAUAAUAAUUGAACAUAUUCACGGGGUCGGGGGUACCCGUUAGGAACCAGGCUGUAAGGGGUGAGCAGCCUGUGGGUGAGCAAGUGAGGCUUCAUCUGUAUUGACAGCCACGCCCCAUCUUUUGCAUUACUGCCUGAGCUCUGCCUCCUGCCAGCCCAUCAAUCUAGUUGCAGGAAAACAAGCUCAGGGCUCCCACUGUUUCUACAUUAUGGUGAGUUGUAUAAUUAUUUCAUUAUAUGUCAUCACAAUGUAAUAAUAGUAGAAAUAAAGUGCACAAUAAAUGGAAUGUACUUGAAUCAUCCUGAAGCCAUCCACCACCACCCCAUCCAUGGAAAAAAUGUCUUCCAUGAAACCAGUCCCUGCUGCCAAAAAGAUUGGGGAACUGUGGUGUAUAGUCAUCAGAUCAGGGUAAUCAGCAUAUCUGUCAGCUCAAACAUGUAUUAUUUCUUUGUGUUGGGAAUGUUCGCUAUUCUCCUUCUAGCUGUUUGAAAGUACAGAGCAUUGUUAGCGAUAGUCACCCUAUAGUACUAUGGGACAAAAGAACUUAUUCCUCCUAUCUAGCUGUGAUUUUGAAUCCUUUAAUAAAUCUCUCCCUAAUCCUCUUUUCCCCAUUCUUCUCAGCCCUGAGUAUCCUUUGUUCUACUUUUUACAUCUAUGCGAUCAACCUUUUUAAAGCUUCCAUACAUGAGUAUGAACACGCCAUGUAAAAAGGGGAA
rnacentral:lncRNA from 1 species